rnacentral:rRNA from 1 species
UACAGAGGGGCAAGCGUUAUUCGGAAUUAUUGGGCGUAAAGGGCGCGUAGGCGGCUUGGCAAGUGGAUGGUGAAAUCCCUCGGCUUAACCGAGGAACUGCCGUCCAAAACUGCUUCGCUUGAGACCGGGAGAGGUGAGUGGAAUUCCCAGUGUAGCGGUGAAAUGCGUAGAUAUUGGGAGAACACCAGUGGCGAAGGCGGCUCACUGGACCGGUACUGACGCUGAUGCGCGAAAGCGUGGGGAGCAAACGGGAU